rnacentral:rRNA from 1 species
CCUACGGGAGGCAGCAGUGGGGAAUAUUGCACAAUGGGGGAAACCCUGAUGCAGCGACGCCGCGUGAGUGAAGAAGUAUUUCGGUAUGUAAAGCUCUGUCAGCAGGGAAGAAAAUGACGGUACCUGACCAAUAAGCCCUGGCUAACUACGUGCCAGCAGCCGCGGUAAUACGUAGGGGGCAAGCGUUAUCCGGAUUUACUGGGUGUAAAGUGAGCGUAGACGGGAGGGCGAGUCUGGAGUGAAAGGCGGGGGCUCAACCCCCGGACUGCUCUGGAAACUGGCAGGCUGGAGUGCAGGAGAGGUGAGUGGAAUUCCUGGUGUAGCGGUGAAAUGCGUAGAUAUUAGGAGGAACACCAGUGGCGAAAGCGGCUUACUGGACUGUAACUGACGUUGAGGCUCGAAAGCGUGGGGAGCAAACAGGAUUAGAUACCCCGGUAGUC